CCCUACGGGGUGCAGCAAUGAGACGGGAGGCUCCGACUCUUCGCAGCGGGAGUAUAGCCUUGAUGCGAGCUUGGCAGCAGUCUACGGCAGCCGGCCUACUGUUGUGGAUGGGUGUUCCGGCAAACGCUCAACCUUCGAUUUCCAACCUGGCGGUGGACAGCAUCACGCAUUCGUCGGCGCGGAUCACAUUCACAGCUUCGCCUGCGGUCAACCGUCAGAUCGCGUGGGACACGGCGGCUUACUGGGACGCCAAUCAUUCCUACCGCUACAAGACCAGCCGUUACGACGACUACAAGACGGCGCAGAAGGCCAUCCUCACCGGCCUGACGCCGGGGACGACCUACUACGCCUGCCCGAGGGUGUGCGAUGCCAGCGCAAACUGCAUCGCGUGUGGGGAGGAAGGGCCUCAAGCAGGGUUCACAACAGCGUCUGAGC
rnacentral:rRNA from 1 species